UGGGGAAUUUUGGACAAUGGGCGCAAGCCUGAUCCAGCCAUGCCGCGUGCGGGAAGAAGGCCUUCGGGUUGUAAACCGCUUUUGUCAGGGAAGAAAUCUUCUGAGUUAAUACCUCGGGAGGAUGACGGUACCUGAAGAAUAAGCACCGGCUAACUACGUGCCAGCAGCCGCGGUAAUACGUAGGGUGCAAGCGUUAAUCGGAAUUACUGGGCGUAAAGCGUGCGCAGGCGGUUUUGUAAGACAGAGGUGAAAUCCCCGGGCUCAACCUGGGAACUGCCUUUGUGACUGCAAGGCUUGAGUGCGGCAGAGGGGGAUGGAAUUCCGCGUGUAGCAGUGAAAUGCGUAGAUAUGCGGAGGAACACCGAUAGCGAAGGCAAUCCCCUGGGCCUGCACUGACGCUCAUGCACGAAAGCGUGGGGAGCAAACAGGAUUAGAUACCCUGGUAGUCCACGCCCUAAACGAUGUCAACUGGUUGUUGGGAAGGUUCCUUCUCAGUAACGUAGCUAACGCGUGAAGUUGACCGCCUGGGGAGUACGGCCGCAAGGUUGAAACUUAAAUGAAUUGACGGGGUCAUAGCUGUUU
rnacentral:rRNA from 1 species